CAUGCAGUCGUUUAGUCCUGAUGGUCGAUGGCUGGUCACCUCCUCCAUGGACUGCUCAGUCAGGACCUGGGACCUGCCCACUGGAAGAAUGAUUGACAUCUUCCUUGUGGAGUCUCCGACGGUCCACUGUACUGUGUUAGUCAUCCCCAAUUACAAUAGGGUCUGGAAAUUUGGUCAUUUAGUCCUGAUGAUCGAUGGCUGGUCACCUCCUCGAUCCAUGGACUUGUCUGUCAGGACCUGGGACCUGCCCACUUGAAGAUUCAGAAUGAUUGACGGCCACCAGCAUAGCUCUCUCUCCGUCAGGUGAAUUUCUGGCAACCACCCACAAGAAACGAAAAUGAACUAACAAUGGACGAAGUUUUCGAGAAAGUAACUCUAUCCAUGCUACCAAAGUCCAGAUGGUCUAAUCUACAAAACCUCGACAUAGUUAAGCAACGGAACAAACCAAUGGAGCCAGCAAAAACUCCGAAACUGGCACCGUUUUUCCUCCCCACUCUCCCUGGCCUGCAGCCGAAGUUUCUCCCCUCUGAGGACAUCCCAGUUACCGAAGUGGGUGGAGGGUCCAAGAUUCUCAACCUGGGGGAGCUCAAUCCACUCUCAAGUGCCUUCAACAAUGUGCUGGUAGUAACCAAUAUGCCCCCCUGAUGGACCUGAUGAAAGAGCUACCCCCUGUGUCCAUAGAUGCUGAGUUCCGUAGCCUUGCCCCAGAGUCUGGGGGGUCGGUGGAGUGGGUGGAGCAUCUGAUGACGUUCUUGUUGAAAACUGUGAAGACUAAC